rnacentral:rRNA from 1 species
AAACUUAGUGGCAAACGGGUGAGUAAUGCAUAAGUAACGUGCCCUACAGCUAGGGAUAACAUACCGAAAGGGAUGCUAAUACCUGAUACAUUAUCUUAAUCGCAUGAUGAAGAUAAGAAAGAUUUAUCGCUGAAGGAGCGGCUUAUGUCUGAUUAGCUAGUUGGUGGGGUAAAGGCCUACCAAGGCGAUGAUCAGUAGCUGGUCUGAGAGGAUGGUCAGCCACACUGGGACUGAGACACGGCCCAGACUCC